rnacentral:rRNA from 1 species
UACAGAGGUCUCAAGCGUUGUUCGGAUUCAUUGGGCGUAAAGGGUGCGUAGGCGGCGCGGUAAGUCGGGUGUGAAAUCUUGGAGCUUAACUCCGAAACUGCAUUCGAUACUGCGGUGCUUGAGGACUGGAGAGGAGACUGGAAUUUACGGUGUAGCGGUGAAAUGCGUAGAUAUCGUAAGGAAGACCAGUGGCGAAGGCGGGUCUCUGGACAGUUCCUGAC